rnacentral:rRNA from 1 species
UACGUAGGGGGCUAGCGUUAUCCGGAAUUACUGGGCGUAAAGGGAGCGUAGGUGGUUUCUUAAGUCAGAGGUGAAAGGCUACGGCUCAACCGUAGUAAGCCUUUGAAACUGGGAAACUUGAGUGCAGGAGAGGAGAGUGGAAUUCCUAGUGUAGCGGUGAAAUGCGUAGAUAUUAGGAGGAACACCAGUUGCGAAGGCGGCUCUCUGGACUGUAACUGACACUGAGGCACGAAAGCGUGGGAAGCAAACAGGAUUAGAUACCCGCGUAGUCCCUGAG